rnacentral:rRNA from 1 species
UACGUAGGGUCCGAGCGUUGUCCGGAAUUAUUGGCGUAAAGGGCUCGUAGGCGGUCUGUUGCGUCAGGAGUGAAAACUCGGGGCUUAACCCCGAGCCUGCUUCUGAUACGGGCAGACUAGAGGUAUGCAGGGGAGAACGGAAUUCCUGGUGUAGCGGUGAAAUGCGCAGAUAUCAGGAGGAACACCGGUGGCGAAGGCGGUUCUCUGGGCAUUACCUGACGCUGGG